GAUGAAGAACGUAGUGAAAUGCGAUACGUAAUGUGAAUUGCAGAAUUCAGUGAAUCAUCGAAUCUUUGAACGCACAUUGCGCCCCUUGGUAUUCCGGGGGGCAUGCCUGUUCGAGCGUCAUUACAACCCUCAAGCUCUGCUUGGUCUUGGGCGUCACCGGUCCCCGGUGUGCCUUAAAAUCAGUGGCGGCGCCAUCUGGCUCUAAGCGUAGUACAUACUCUCGCUACAGACGUCCGGUGGAUGCUGGCCAGCAACCCCCAAUUUAUCAAGGUUGACCUCGGAUCAGGUAGGGAUACCCGCUGAACUUAAGCAUAUCAAUAAGCGGAGGA
rnacentral:misc_RNA from 1 species